rnacentral:rRNA from 1 species
AGGACGAACGCUGGCGGCGUGCUUAACACAUGCAAGUGGAGCGACGAACCGGGGCUUGCCCCGGGGCAGAGCCGCGAACGGGUGAGUAACACGUGGGUCACCUGCCUCAAUGACCGGGACAACCCGAGGAAACUCGGGCUAAUACCGGAUGUGCCCGCAAGGGGAAAGGAAGCUUUGGCCUCCGCAUUGAGAUGGGCCCGCGGCCCAUUAGCUUGUUGGUGAGGUAACGGCUCACCAAGGCUUCGAUGGGUAGCUGGUCUGAGAGGACGAUCAGCCACACUGGGACUGAGACACGGCCCAGACUCCUACGGGAGGCAGCAGUGGGGAAUCUUGCGCAAUGGGCGAAAGCCUGACGCAGCAACGCCGCGUGCGGGAAGAAGGCCCUAGGGUUGUAAACCGCUUUCAGUAGGAACGAAAAUGACGGUACCUGCAGAAGAAGGUGCGGCCAACUACGUGCCAGCAGCCGC